rnacentral:rRNA from 1 species
UGGCGAACGGGUGAGUAACGCGUGAGGAACCUGCCUCAAAGAGGGGGACAACAGUUGGAAACGACUGCUAAUACCGCAUAAGCCCACGGCUCGGCAUCGAGCAGAGGGAAAAGGAGCAAUCCGCUUUGAGAUGGCCUCGCGUCCGAUUAGCUAGUUGGUGAGGUAACGGCCCACCAAGGCGACGAUCGGUAGCCGGACUGAGAGGUUGAACGGCCACAUUGGGACUGAGACACGGCCCAGACUCCUACGGGAGGCAGCAUG